rnacentral:rRNA from 1 species
AACGAACGCUGGCGGCAGGCUUAACACAUGCAAGUCGAAGCUAGUGGCAGACGGGUGAGUAACGCGUGGGAACAUACCUUUUCCUGCGGAAUAGCUCCGGGAAACUGGAAUUAAUACCGCAUAGGUAAGGAUUGGCCCGCGUUGGAUUAGCUUGUUGGUGGGGGAACGGCCUACCAAGGCGACGAUCCAUAGCUGGUCUGUGAGGAUGGUCAGCCACAGUGGGACUGAGACACGGCCCAAACUCCUACGGGAGGCAGCAGGGGGGAAUAUUGGACAAUGGGCGAAGGCCUGAUGCAGCCAGGCCGGGUGAGUGAUGAAGGCCUUAGGGUUGGAAAGCUGUUUCACCGGAGAAGCGGUAUCCGGAGAAGAAGCCCCGGCUAACUUCGUGCCAGCAGCCGCGGUAAUAC